AACGAACGCUGGCGGCAGGCCUAAUACAUGCAAGUCGAACGGGCGUAGCAAUACGUCAGUGGCGGACGGGUGAGUAACACGUGGGAACAUGCCUUUCGGUUCGGAAUAACGCAGGGAAACUUGCGCUAAUACCGGAUGACCCGGCGACGGAAAAGAUUUAUCGCCGAAAGAUUGGCCCGCGUAGGAUUAGCUAGUUGGUGAGGUAACGGCCCACCAAGGCGACGAUCCUUAGCUGGUUUGAGAGAACGAUCAGCCACACUGGGACUGAGACACGGCCCAGACUCCUACGGGAGGCAGCAGUAGGGAAUCUUGGACAAUGGGGG
rnacentral:rRNA from 1 species